GACGAACCGUGCAAACGUUGUUCGGAAUCACUGGGCUUAAAGGGCGCGUAGGCGGGCAGGCAAGUCGAAGGUGAAAUCCCACGGCUCAACCGUGGAAGUGCCCCCGAUACUGCCUGUCUCGAGGGAGAUAGGGGCGUGCGGAACUUCCGGUGGAGCGGUGAAAUGCGUAGAUAUCGUGAGGAACACCAGAGGCGAAGGCGGUUACCUGGACAGUUACUGACGCUCAGGCACGAAAGCAUGGGGAGCAAAAGGG
rnacentral:rRNA from 1 species